UACAUACCCUAGAGCCCGGGCAGCCA
rnacentral:piRNA from 1 species